UCUGUUCCACUCUAAAAGCAAAGGCUGCUUGCCACUUCCCAUGCGUAUAAAAAACCCACGUCAAACUGUUGGACAAAAACUGCAACUAAAUCUAUGGGUUCUUCUUGUCCCCCCUCAGCUUGCUCAGAUAGAGCUGCUGAGGACAAUCGAAUGCGCCAUUGCUAACAAGUUGAUCCCCCACCCGGCCCCCGGCCCGCUUUCUCUGUGCAUGAAAGAGACAUGGCAUGGCGAAUGGUUGCUGCUGUUUUAAUAGGGCAAAUGCUGGCGGAAGGUGAACGUACCGCGCACAGGGUAGGGUUCUCCGUGGUAUUGUGGUGAAACUUCAUUAUGUUAAAGGAGCCUUGAAGAUCAUCUGUCUUUGCAAAUAAGAAAAAUGGUUCCAUUCUCUUCUCCAUAUAAAGGACAGUUACACUCAUAUUCACCGUGAGUAGAACAGGCUCCAUUAUGGGGCUAUAGGGUUUCCAUAGUAAGUUAAAAAGGCUAUGUAAUCUGGGGCACCACAAAGCAUACCUUGAUGUUUUUAACUUAUGGUGCAUUUUUCCUAACAUCUGGCAAGUGGAGUGGUACAGAUAAGUCUGCAACACAUCAUGGGGAUCUUUGUGUAAACUGAGGUGAGUGUUAGAUUAGGCCUUGCAUUGUACCACCUUUGAUCUAUGCAUAUUUUCCUAUUUGAUCUCGGCACAGCACAUUUAGCCAUGUACUAAGGAGUUCUUUCCCCUUUGUCUUUCAAAUGCUAUUGCAUUGGACAUUCUCUGUCUUUUCAAAUGUAUGUUUAAGGUUGAAUAUAUGUGAUGUUCCCUUCUUCUGCUAUUGUUCAUUUACAAAGAUAAGUUUUAUAUACUGUAAAUUUUAUUUUGUACCAAAAAUACAUUAUCCUGCAAGCAAAUUGAGUCUAAUGUUCUCAAUGUGCCUGUAAUUCUUUUGCAAUUGAGUGAAGUGUGAAAAUUCAUUUGACUGCUCUUAGUGAAAGAUAGGAGGGGUGGGAGAUGGAAAUUGUUUUACUUCUGCCAAGUGAGCACGAGAAGUACAGAUUAUGCAUGUCACUGUUUGAGGGAGGGUGGAGGAAACAUGUGCUUCAAAAAUGCAUCACCAAAUUCAAGGGAAAAGAAAAGGACUCAGGACAAAUAUUUGUUUUUCUCCAGCAUUUAUUCAGUAAAUAUCCAUUAACACAGAACAAGUUAAUCAAAAUAAACAAAGAGCUAAUUAAGGUUUGAGCUAGUAAAAAAAUAGGUUUGGCUUCCAGGCCACAAACAUCUCAAAAUCAGAGAUUUCCAUGGCUGCUCACAGACUUCUGUAGGAUGAAAGCCAACAGUGAUUUUUCUGAAAUGGACCCAAAAAUAAAGCUUCACUUUUGCUUGAAAACACUGCUGCGCCAAAAAAAAAAAAACACUAGAUAGCAGAUUUCAUAGUAAGCAGUUGGGCCUGGUCAGACUUCCGACAAAAAUAUAUGAAUUGCAGGAGAUGGUACUGUUGAUUUGGUAAAUGGUAGUUUCCCUUCUCAGUCAGUACUUUAGCAUGGCACUAAAGGCACUGUGCUGCUAGAGGCGUCCUCUGUCAGAUGAGGGUAAUAACCAAGCUCCUGACCACUUGUAAUUAUGUAAAUGUCCCAUGGCACUUUUCACAAGAGGAGUAUUAGUCCUGUUAUCUUAGUCAAAUUUCACCUUGAAUUAUCACAUUCUGUCUCGGGACAGACAGGAGCAGGUUGGAGGGGACAAAGCAGGAGAGGUCAUGCUUGAGGGGAAUGGGCAGAAGAAUCCGUGUCCACUAGAACACUAUCCCGUCUAGAGACUGGGAUAGAACCCAAGAUUCCUGAAUCUCACCAUUCCUCUGAUGUCAGCAUAUAUUUGUGAAACCCACUGGGAAAGUGUCCCAUCCCCCUCUAGUGCUAGUCCACAUAGAGUAACUGAUAGUAUUAGUAGGCUGUUCUCCUUUGUUAGAUCAAGUGGCAGAGGUCUGUGAGGUGGUGUUAUGGAGCAUUGGUGGUCUGGCCUAGUGGUCAGAGCAGGAGUCAUGUCUAAUGGGCAAAGCAGCACUCAGGUUGGGGAAUGGAGUUGAAGGUGAGUACCAGAGUCAACUGCCAACUACCAGAGCUGGGUCAAGCCAGAAUCAGAGCCAGGAAUCGAAGGUGAGGGUCAGAGUCGGGAUCAGAUACCAAAUCUUGGAGUCAGAAGUCAGAGGUGGGAGUCAAAGGCAGGACUGGUAACUAAUGGCCGGAAAUGGGGGCGUAAGGGCAGGAACUGGAGGAGAGGCAGGUAGCAGGAAUGGAGCAGGAUCGCAAUGGGAACUAAGAGCACAGGCAGGGGCAAGGCAGGAGCCAGAAGUAGAGCAGGAAUGAGGAACAGGGUGGAUACAGAGUGCAGGAAGCAGGCGCAAACAGGGUCCAAUGCAGCUGCAGCAACAGUGAGUCACCUGGUUGCUCAGAUAACUUCUUUGCCUCCUUCUGGCUUAAAUAUCAUGGUUGGGACAAUUGGUGGAGCCAGGCAAUCCUCUAAGCAAGGAUCCGCAGGGUGAUGCCUUGGCUGAGGCCGUACCCUUGCUAGCUCUUCAGCCUACCAAGCUUCAUCAGACUUGGGUGUCAGACAGGAUGUGUUGGCUGUCUGGGAACUCACAUGCCAUAGACAUCAGAGGUGGAUCUAAAGGUUCCAGCUCAGCUGAGGAAGCAUGUGUGUGUCGAUGUGAUGCCAGAUGAUGUAAUUUGUUUUUUUAAUUUUUGUCUCUUUAAAAACCAAGGAAAUUACAUACAAAACAGCUACAUUAAAAGAACGUUAUUAAGGUUGCAAAGCUAAACCCUCAAAUUAGGAAAUGCCAGCGUUAAAGCUGUCUGUGUAGCCAUCAUUUGGCCACUUUAUGUGUAUGCAUUAUGAUACAGUCUUUAAUUACAUGAUCAUAUACUAUUUAUUCUACAAGAUUCCUGCCUCAUUCUAUGUACAGGAUGGACCUGCAGUGGGGUGAAUCUGAGAUGUGUAAUGAAGGAGAUUAUCAUCUGUAGGACAGCUGCCUCAUUUGUUGCAGAAGUUCAAAGGUAGACAUCUUUAAAGGGGUUCUGCUCCUCCUCCCAGCUGGACAAAUAUGUACUCCCUGCACCACCAAAGAGUCUUUGAACAAGCAAGCAGCUACCUUCUUUUUUGAGUGUCAGCCUGCUGGAAAGUCCUAUAAAGUGCAGUGCUGUGCUAUCACUCUAAGGAGUGUUGCAUGUGGAUACAGCACUAAGAAAGCUGAAGCCUUGAAGAGCAUACCAUCUCUCCAGGCCCUCAUCUCAGAUUGCAGAGGAGCCAUUCUCACCUCUGUCUAGUCGGUGUCUGUGGCCCAAAGCACAUCAGCAUGCGAGAGUGGUUACCAGUCCUUCAUGUCUGUCCACUAGUAUUGCAGCAGGUCCUCAAGACCACCUGAGACAGCCAGAUCCAUCAGAAGUAGGCCUCUGGCAGCCUGCCUCCUCUUCUUCCAGGACAAGGCAAUGGUGGAUGUCUCCAGCACACUGAGGGAAGGAAGCAGUGGCAAGGUACAUGCAGUAAUAAUCUUAUUUUUACAAAAGUCAAUAAACAAGAUUUUUAAAAAUUAGGCCCCAGUCUUGCAUUGUCAUCUGCCCUCGGCCUGGGUGAAAGCAAUUGAAGGAUUGGGGUCCUACAGAAGAAAAUGCCAGAGAAGAGUGGUAAAUGAGAAAAAGGAGAUGGAGUUUGUUGUUUACGCCAAUAUUAAAUGGUCCAUUUCCCGGAUGCAAGCUCAUGAAAAGAGGAGUUCUUUGUGAUUACUUAGUAAUUCAAACCUUACAACCCUCCUCAGAACACAUGGAGACAAGAAUUGCAGCGUGGACAGGGCUUUCCAAAGUUUGCUGUAUAAUGUUUAUAAGUCUCCCAGUUGAUCCCAUAAACCAACAUCAACAAGUUUUAAAGAAAGUCAAACACUGAACUGGUGGACAUCACUGGCUGAACACCUGUAACCAGAGUUUGUUGAACUGCUAAACCAGCUUUUGUCAGCACUAGCCUCGUGACAGAUGGAGAGAGAAUAUUUUCUUCAUUUCAGCUUAAUCCACUAGUUCAGUUCAAUGACUAGACCAUGCAAAGUUAAGAAACCAAUAAGGAGCUGAACAUACAGGAGAGUUUGUUUUCUUCUUCUAGUCUACAAAUAAAAACUAGGUGUGAGAGAAUGAUCUCUAAUAGUUCUAAAAUCUUGAAAGACAGUGGUGACCAUAAAGAAUCAGUUCAAUUCACUAGCUACAGAUAAUACUUUGUUUAAUAAAUCAGUUAGUUUUAAAUGCAAACACGUUUUGAUAAACUUUUUUCCUUAUGUGUCCAGCACAUGUAAAGUAAUUUUAUUUAACUAAUAAAAAAGCAGUUUUAAAGUGCUGCAUAUGUGCAUUUUUAACUAAAUUUGAAUUUCCAAAUAGAACCUGAUACAAAUCACAAGUAAAAAGUGACUCAUUAUCUAGUAAAAAUAUAUGCUUCAUUCACCAUUUUCAAACAUAAUAAAAAUGUAAACAUUAAGGAUCUGAAUAAAUGUAAAUUAGGCUAUGUAAUUGCUUAAAUAAAUGUGUAUUGUUAUAGUGUAUCCUCCUGGUUAACAAAAAGAAGCACCACAUUUAGUGUAAAGGCUAUAUUUAGUUAUAAAUCAACAUGUUUUAAUGGUUACCAACCAAUCAGAAUCAGCCUUUCCUUAGGAAAAUAACUGAAAAGUACAAAUGCAAAACAAGAUUAAAAUGGAUGAUUUUAAUCAAAAUUCCCUGCUUACUGAUUUAAAUCAUGAUUAAAAUCAGUGCUUUAAAUUAGUUGAUUUAACGCAAUCCUUCCUCUAUGCCUCAUGUGCUAUUGCUUAUUUAUUGUUUGUUGCAUUCUGGUUGGCUCUGAAGAUCUGUUGUAUGCCUCAGUCAGUUAGAGGAGACAACAUAUGCAUAAAUACAAGUUUUUAAAAGUAUUUUUAUAAAUAAGCCAAUUCCUGACUUAAUAAAGUUUUUGCUUUGUUUUUACUUUUACUUUUUACUUUUAACACUACUGUCAAAAGUAAACCAUUGAGCCAUCAAUCAGAUCUAGCACAGCUUCCGUUUGGUAUAAGCCACAUGGUUUUAGUCAUCACCAUCCUUUGCCUGAGCCCUGAAACUCAAAAUAUUAUAUUGGGUGAAAUCGUAGUCAAUUGUCAAUAUUUCCUUUUUUAACUGUGCAUGAAAAAAUCAAAUUAGUUUUUAAAACAAUGAGAAGCAAAUACUCAGAUGUCAGGGUUACACUGUACUUUCCAGAAGGUAGGCCUCGGUCUUGGGAGGUGUUGAAUUUCCUCAUCCCCCCGAGUUCAUUGGGGGUCGAGGGAACUCAGCUCCUCGGAAGAUUAAGCCCAUAAUGCAGACAGAAAUGAUCUGACUUUCACAGGUUAUUAUAGCUUUUGUCACAUCCAGGAGGACAGAAAAGUCCCACAGAGCUAAUGUAUGUUUGAACAUGUUGACAUAGCAUGGCUGAUGUGGCAUACCACUGGGAUGAUAUUUAAUUCACUGAUAUGUGCUAAGUAAAUAUGUGGCUAGAUAGAACCAUUUUGUUCCUCUCUUAUAUUAAGUAUGAACAUCUAAUGGUAAAAAGCUACCUAGGGAAUAGAACAUCACCCGGUAUUUGUUUUAUAAAACUGUGUAAAGGUUUGCCAAAGCUGUCACAGUAUGAUAGCUGUGGCCAUUUAUUUUUCCAGAUCCUAAGUUUGAGGGCUUUUGCUUGCAUUGGAAUCUUUUUUUUAAAAGAGAGAUUAAUAAAUUUUAAAAUGUUGAGGCUGCUGAACAGAUUUGUUGAUCUAGUAAUGAUACAUUACUGGCUAAAGGCCAUAUUCUGCUCCCAGACACACCCAAACCUGCAUCCCAUCAUAUGUAACCUCAUCAUCAAAUCUUAUGGAGGCACAUUUUGACUAAUUCUAAAGACAAAAAACACAAGUGGCUAUUGUGAUAGCUAAACCUGUUGAAGUUAGCAGUCUGCCUGUGUCAGACCAAGUCAGAAAUUAUCAGCUGCUCCAUAAUGAGAUCAUCCUUUUUUCAUAAAAGAGUGCUGAAUUUUGUGGGACAGCAAGUAAUAAGGUAAUAUAGGCUCUUCUGACACAAGUAUUUGUUUCUAUACAUGGUGCUAGUUGAACCAGACAAAGCCUCCAGUCCUGCAGUGUGGGUGGAUCCCGUCCCCUGCCUGCACCUGAAAGGAGUGCCAUUUAUGGUUCUGCCCACAUGGAACUCCUUGCAGUAUUGGGGCCCAACUAAGUCCCUUAUUCCCCUGGAAACCCCGAUCUAAGGCAGUUAUCCCCAAUUUCCAAGCCAUUUUUCUCCAGUUACCUACUCACACAUUAGGGUCUUGCAUUCUUUAGAAGAUGGACCAUUGAGGCAGUAAUGAUAAUUAAUAGGUGUCUUUCAAAUGCUUAACAACCUAGCACAGAUACCACCUUUCACAAAUUAGGUUGUCUGGCUCAAUCUAGUUUCAGUCAGACCUCUUGUUAAAACAUAUGAGCAGUUUAGUUUGUUUCUUUUUGUCUUGAACUAUAAAUUAUGGACAAAGAAUGUCACACAAGGCUUUAAAGAUCAUCAUCAACAGUUUGAUUUGCAACUGGAAGCAAACAGGAAGCCAGAGUAGUGAUUUGACCACAGGUGUUAAGCAUUCACGCUGGCCCAUACUGUGCUAGAGGGAGUAAUAGACUAAUCUUGGUCUGAUUUUUUUAAAAGUUAUUUCUAAUGUUAAGUGUCUUGACCUCCGCUAGGAAAUGCUAACUGUGGGUGAGAUUCUGCAUGGCCCUCACAUUGCUGAACGCUGUAAGAGGAGUAUGCAAAGAGAGCCUUUACUCCCCCUUGAAUGUCCACGUAAAGGCCAGGCAAAAUUGUGGUCCCUAUGCUCUUUGGAGAAGCCAAAAAGGGUAAGGAUGAAGCAGGGCUAAAACCAGCUUUCAUACAAAAGCCUGCAAAUUAGGACCAGCAAGAAGAGUAGAGCAGGUGAAGGGGUUUAGUGGUUUGCAUGCUUCCCUGCAGGCAUCCUGGGAUGGGAUGUGGACUGUCAUAAAAACACAGUCUAGCCCAUUGGGUCCAAUCCUGAAAGAUGCUGAAUGCCCCUUAACUCUUUUCAGUAGGAAUGCUCAGCACUUCACAAGACUGGGCCCUCUAUCAUCAGGGCAUGGGGCCAAUCAAGCAACCUUGUGCAGCACUAACCGUCUGUAGGGAAUAAACCUCCAGUGAUGGGAACUUCUCCCAGGGGACUGAAGAAGCACUUACAAAAGAAAUUGGGGGUGACAGCACGAGCUCUGCUGGAGGAUAAGAGGGGACUGUACUGGGGAAGGGAAUUCUGAUGCCAUGAGCUCAGGGCACCAAGCUGGCAGGCAAUGAAGCCAGCCUUGUCUCUGAGCCUUCUCUUACUCCUCCUUACUGCAAUUGAGCCAUUCCCACCAGCCUUUGAUUUCUUUCCCACUGGAAGACAGCAACAACCAGAGCUUUUCUUUUGCUUUUCUGUUCCUUGUACUGCCUCUAAUGAUGAGCUAGGCCCUCCCUUAUUCAGGGGAGCAAUCCUCAUUCAUGUGAGUGUUCCUGUGAUUAAUGAUUGCAGAAUCAGGUCCCUAGUUAGAAAUUUCAUGGAGAGAUGAAACCUAUUAAAAAAGGAGGAGAAACUCUUGGGGUCCCCAAGGCCAACCUAACCCCUAAAACGUCUUUUUAAAAAGACCAAGCCUAGUCUAUUCUUGCCCAUGACGCUUAUUUCUAAAAUGUGACAGCUAGCCAAAAUUCAUUCCAGCUGCACUUCAAAACUAUACAGGUAUAACUAGGAUUAAAAAUAAGGAAAUGUCAUUUAAUGAUUGGAUCUAUUGAAAUAUAAUGUCUUGGAAGAGAAUGUUGUCUGAACUCAGCCAUUUACAAUAGUUAGGAUUUUGAAAAAUCCACAAAAUGAAAAGAACUUUACAUUGAUUAUUCACAUCAUUAUAAUAAACAUAUAAAGAAAGUGGAGCACUAGUGGCUCUACAGAAGUAACAGCCAUUAUGACAGAGCUGCACUGAUAAUGUGCCACUGCAGACAGUCUUAACGUUACUCCACAACAUAACUAGCUGCAGUAAAAGAAGAGCAAAAGAAGAAAUGGUUUGCAGCUAUCCUAUAUCGCAGGCAGGGUGAUAUAAUGUAACAUAUGUUUUAAAAUGAUAAAGACUUCCAAGAAUAAGAUGCAGAUUCCAGGAACAGAAAAAUCUUCAUAGAUGCCCAAACAAAGCUAAAUCCUGUAAUAGUUGAAUAAUUGUAGCAUUCUAUAUCUAGAAGUUAAAAAAAUCCCAAACCAUCCCCUUAGUGGCUCAUCUGGUCAACACUCUGACACACAAAGCCUAGUGCUCUUCCUUCAAACCUAAGAAUUAAUCAGCAUUAUGUAAGAGAUUUUUUAUAACACUCUAAAAAUACAUUGUGAAUUCCUUUCCAGUUUUGGACUAAGAAGCUUUAAAGUAACCCCCCUCCCCUUUUAAACAUAAACAGUGGAUCUUUAUUUUUUUAUAUUAGGAUCUUAAUUUCUGUCAGUAUAUGUGUUUCAAAUCUCAUUAAUUACAAUAUUGGUCCCAUGAGAUGCAAUGCUGUUGCAAAGAACAGUGUUUGUACUAAAAACGAUUUGAGCAAGGGCACAAAUAUGUUUUAUGUACAUGUGUAAAUACUUUUUAAAGAGGACUAAUGACACAAAACUUCAUAAGACUGUUUGGAUGUUUUCAUGUUAAUCUAUCUGUUUACUGAACAAACUUUUGUAUCCAUGUGAUGUUUUGUUUGCAUUGUAUUGAUAACACAUAAUACAAGAUGAUAGCACUCUU